UCAUGUAAGUACACAAUCAUUCAGUCCUUUUCUGAACUUUGUAUCUCACUGUCUAGGCCCAUUCCAGGAUCUGCAAUGGAUGUACGAGGACCGGCUCCAAGACGGGUACCCGUACACCUAUUUACAAGACUGCCUCAGUCAAUUUAAUAAGGUGGCAAAGAAGAUGCUCGCCAUGGGUAUCAUCGAAGAGGAACGACGACUUCACCAGAAGGAACUGGAUAAAAUGCAGCGUGUUUACAACAACCCACUCAUCUGUCUGGAAAUAUUUCUGUUGUGGAGGGAGCUCAAGGAACUCGAAAAACAGUUUUUCAAACUGCCCCCAUGUUAUAACUUAUUUUAGUGAUGCGAGCUCAUCACAUUAACAAUAUGGUCCUUUUAAGGACCAUUACAUUUUCAAAAGUGUUCAUGUCUGCGCAUGUAUUUCUUUCCUUCAGCUAUAUAAGCAGAUUUCAGAGGAGAAUGGAAACAAGGAGCGCCCAGGCACCUCUGAAUACCAGACCACAGCGUCGGACAACCCCUCAACAUCAUGGCGGUUCCAUCUCCGAGGAAAUCGACCUGCCGUGGUCCAGUCCUUCCAAAACCAAGUGUACGUCAAGAUCAGGGACUAUUUGCAGAGCAAGGGGAAGGGUUUCCCUUUCUGGCUGGUUCGUGAGGAAUCAACUUAACACUGGAAGAGUGGAGGGCGUUGGCGAGGUCCAUUCCCAACAUCAGCAAGGCAGUGGUUGAGGCUGAACGUCAGUGCAGCCUUCCAAAAGAGGAUGUGCCCAAGAUAGCCCAAGACACCGUAGCUGAUUCUGGGAGUACUCCUUGUAGCUCUCCAGUUAUUGCAGCUGAUCUUCAGAUUUUUAUGGAGGAGGAGGAAGAGGAGAAACAGGACGAGGUCAAGAAGGACAAGGCAAACUUGGAGGAGGAUGAAGGGAGCGAAGAAGACGAAACAAAGGAAGACAAUAAGGAGGAACUAUGAGCCGAUGAAAUUUCGACCAUAAUAUAUCAAGACCCAAGACUUUCAGCCAUCGUGGGCCCAUUCAAAGAUCUGCAAUGGAUGUAUGAGGACCAGCUCCAAGACCGGUGGGUAACCCGUACACCUAUUUACAGGACUGCCUCCAUCAAUUUAAUAAGGUGGCAAAGAAGAUGCUCGCCAAGGGUAUCAUUGAAGAGGACCGACGAAUUCACCCGCAGGAACUGGAUAAAAUGCAGCGUGUUUACAACAACCCGCUCAUCUGUCUGGAAAUGUUUCUGUUGUG